rnacentral:lncRNA from 1 species
CAGUACUGUCCUGGGGCCAAGGGGAGAAGAGGCAGGAGUACCCACAGCUUCCCUUGUGCAGUUGUUUAGGUUGUGCACUAAAAAAGUGGCCUAGCUCAGGAAACAAGGGUCAGAUUUCCUGUGCUCCUCCCACCAUGCUGGCUCCAAUGUAGAGAGGUGUUUUUCCUAAUUUGCUCCAAGGGGCUUGGGUCUCUACCCCUAAACCUGUUUUUUAUUCAUUCACACAGGAGACUCCACUCUUGCCUAUGUCCUGCCUCCCAGCUCCCUGAGUACCUAUCUCCCUUUUCAUUAGUUCUUCUCUGCCUUCCAGGAAGCCAGCAGCAACCCCAAGAAAGUGGCCUAGCUUGAGAGAGGCCUGAAGAAACCAGCAGGGACAGAGCUUCCAAGAGUCUCUGCUUCCGAGAGCACCUCCCACGCCAGAGGCCUGCCCCCAGCCCUCGACUCCUCUCCACCUUCGGAGGAAGCUCCAGCCAAGACAAACUGCUCAGCCAGCACUUCGGGACAACCCAACUGCUGUUGGGCAACAUGGCAACAUGGUCAUCCCACCGAACCCAACACGACAGCGAACGUGAAGAGCUAUGACCGCCUCAGCCAACCCGGAGAGAUGCCCCGCACCCAACGUGAACUGGAAGCAGCUACAGAAGGAUAAAUCCAGGGGGAAGCUCUUCAUUAGAUGUACGGAAGCACACAAAACGAUACGAGCCCCUGGACUCCGCCGGACACAGAGGCCGAGUGAAAGAUGCGAAGGCUCCUAGGA